rnacentral:tRNA from 1 species
GACGAAGUAGCACAAUGGUAGUGCACCAGAUUGUGGAUCUGGUGGUUGCGGGUUCGAGCCCCGUCUUCGUCC